rnacentral:rRNA from 1 species
CCUACGGGAGGCAGCAGUAGGGAAUAUUGCUCAAUGGGGGAAACCCUGAAGCAGCAACGCCGCGUGGAGGAUGAAGGUCUUCGGAUUGUAAACUCCCUUUGUUAGAGAAGAUAAUGACGGUAUCUAACGAAUAAGCACCGUCUAACUCCGUGCCAGCAGCCGUGGUAAUACGGAGGGAGCAAGCGUUAUCCGGAAUCACCGGGCGUAAAGCGCGCGUAGGCGGGAUAGAAAGUCAGAUGUGAAAUCCUAUGGCUUAACCAUAACACUGCAGUUGAAACUGGUAUUCUAGAGUAUGGGAGAGGUAUGCGGAAUGCUUGGUGUAGGGGUAAAAUCCGUAGAGAGCAAGAAGAAUACUCAUUGCGAAGGCGACCUGCUAGAACAUAACUGACGCUGAUGCGCGAAAGCGUGGGGAGCAAACAGGAUUAGAUACCCGUGUAGUC